rnacentral:rRNA from 1 species
AACGAACGCUGGCGGCGUGCCUAACACAUGCAAGUCGAACGAGAAAGCCCUUCGGGGUGAGUAGAGUGGCGCACGGGUGAGUAACACGUAGGUGAUCUACCGAACAGGUGGGGGAUAACCAGAAGAAAUUCUGGCUAAUACCGCAUACGAAUGACAAAUUUGAAUAUAGUUGUUGAAAGGAUGCCUCUGCAUAUGCAUUCGCUGUUUGAUGAGCCUGCGGGACAUUAGCUUGAUGGUGGGGUAACGGCCUACCUUGGCGACGAUGUCUAGCGGAUCUGAGAGGAUGAUCCGCCACACUGGAACUGAGACACGGUCCAG